rnacentral:rRNA from 1 species
GUGGGGAAUUUUGGACAAUGGGCGAAAGCCUGAUCCAGCCAUGCCGCGUGUGUGAAGAAGGUCUUCGGAUUGUAAAGCACUUUAAGUUGGGAGGAAGGGCAGUAAGUUAAUACCUUGCUGUUUUGACGUUACCGACAGAAUAAGCACCGGCUAACUUCGUGCCAGCAGCCGCGGUAAUACGAAGGGUGCAAGCGUUAAUCGGAAUUACUGUGCGUAAAGCGCGCGUAGGUGGUUUUGUAAGUUGGAGGUGAAAUCCCCGGGCUCAACCUGGGAACUGCAUCCAAAACUGCAUGACUAGAGUACGGUAGAGGGUAGUGGAAUUUCCUGUGUAGCGGUGAAAUGCGUAGAUAUAGGAAUGAACACCAGUGGCGAAGGCGACUACCUGGACUGAUACUGACACUGAGGUGCGAAAGCGUGGGGAGCAAACAGGAUUAGAUACCCGGGUAGUCC